rnacentral:rRNA from 1 species
UACGGAGGGGGCUAGCGUUGUUCGGAAUUACUGGGCGUAAAGCGCACGUAGGCGGAUUGGAAAGUCAGAGGUGAAAUCCCAGGGCUCAACCUUGGAACUGCCUUUGAAACUCCCAGUCUUGAGUUCGAGAGAGGUGAGUGGAAUUCCGAGUGUAGAGGUGAAAUUCGUAGAUAUUCGGAGGAACACCAGUGGCGAAGGCGGCUCACUGGCUCGAUACUGACGCUGAGGUGCGGAAAGCGUGGGGAGCAAACAGG